rnacentral:sRNA from 1 species
GAAUGUGAGGGGCAGCAAUAUUGGUUCCCCCAAGGAUUGUCAAGUUGUUUCUGCCCUCCCUCCCUUUCCAUGUGCCUUCCUGCUGCAGAUGGGUGCUGGGUGGAAGAAGAUGUCCAUCCUAGAUUGGAGUGGGCAAUUCUUUGGUCAAGCUGCCCUCUCCUUCUAGAACCUCUAGGCAAUCUCAAGACCCAUUUGUAAGCUCCUACGUGAUUAACCUGAAUGACAAAAAGGAUAUUUUAUCAAACAUGUUUCUUUA